CACCAGGACCUACAGCGGGACCGGGACUGGGACUGACACCGGGACUGGGAGCAACACCGGGAACAACACCGGGACCAGGACUGACACCAGGACUGGGACUGACACUGGGACUGGGACUGACACCGGGACUGGGACUGAUACCGGGACUGUAAUAAACACCGGGACCAACACCGGGACCAGAACCAACACCGGGACCAACACCGGGACCAGGACUGACACUGGACUGACACUGGGACUGUAAUCAACACCGGGACCGACACCGGGACCAGGACUGACACCAGGACCGGGACCAGCACCUGGACCAACACCGGGACCAGAACCAACACCGGUGUCUGGGACAAACACCGGGACCAGGACCAACGCUCAGACCAACACCGGGACCAGAACUGACACCAGGACCGGGAACAACAGCAGGACUAACACCAGGACCAGGACUGACACCGGGACCAGAACCAACACCUGGACCAACACCGGGAACAGAACCAACACCGGGACCAGGACAAACACCCGAACCAACACUGGGACCAGGACUGACACCGGGACCAGGACCAAGACCCAGACCAACACCGUGACCGGGACCAACACCGGGACCAGGACUGACACCGGGACCAGGACCAAGACCCAGACCAACACCGGGACCGGAACCAACACCAGGACCGGGAACAACAGCAGGACUGACACCGGGACCAGGACCAACACCCGGACCAACACCGGGACCAGGACUGACACCGGGACCAGGACCAAGACCCAGACCAACACCGGGACCGGGACCAACACCUUGACCAGCACCAACACCCGAACCAACACCGGGACCGGAACCAACACCAGGACUGGGAACAACACCAGGACUGACACCAGGACCAGGACCAAGACCCAGACCAAC
rnacentral:lncRNA from 1 species